CACUCAUGUUCUUCCAUCCCUUUGAGUUACCUAGUGGCCAUGCCCGGUGUCCCCAACAGCAGUAUCCCACGACUCAGCCAGCCUGCCCAGGAGACUGGGCUCCCCAAAGAGCCUCCCUUGCUCCCCUCUCAAAAGUGGGGGGCAAUGACCCUUUGCCCCCUUUCCAGUCUCGAGCAGCUAUGGCAGAAACCCAUCUCAGUGGCUCCUUGGGAGGGAGAGGAGCCAAAGUGGCCAGCCCAGGGCUGGGGCUACAUGGACAGACCCCAAGAGUCCCUCCUGUUGCCCCAAGCAGGGGUCACUGCACAGAUCUGCCCUUAUGUCCCCUUGCCUAUUGUCAUGGAUCCAUAGGAUUGGUGCUACAUUUUAGCUUUGAUGCACCAGACCCCCUAGAGGUCUUACUCUUCCUCCAGGGUAAGACAUGCGGCUUCACUGCCUCCUGUAUCUGGACCUCUGGGCCCUCAUUACUCCGGCUUCACACCUGGAGCCCUGUUCAGCAAAUCCAGGGGAGAUAGACUCCUGAUGGAGACCUGUCCAUGCUUCAGGGAUUAAGGCACCUCACCAACCAUUUGCAGUGCCAUUCAGACGGCACUGACUAAUAAAGCAGGGUGACCACACAUCCUGAAUUGGAUGGGAGAGUCCCGAAAUGCAGAGUUCAAGUCCCAGUCCUGGGCUGAAUGACUCCGGGACAGCAUUUGUCUUGAAUUCCCCAUUGCACUGCUCUGUGCCUGCCCGAGGCUCAGGGGUGGAACAGCCUGUUCCCGGGGGUGGCAGGGGGAUGAGGUGGGACUCACCACAAGGCCCCGUCCCAUCCUCCUUCCUGCCCCCCUGGCCUCCCCGAGGUCCCGUCCCCAGGCCAGGUCAGAAGCUGGAGCUGGGCUGCUGUGGGGAGCCCUGAACCCUGCACCUGCCCUGGGCAGCAUACCCCGGGGCACAGGGACACAGACCAGGGUGUUGACUUGGGACCUCAUCAACCCCAUUCCCCAGAUUAAACCAGCUUGGGUGAAACUCAGGGAGCUCACCACUAAAAUUGAAAAAUAAUAGUAUUCUGCUGCUGAUAAACCUCUGCCCCACAAAUGUCCCUAAUGAGAGUUAUAAUCACCAAGGCUGUAAAGUAGAGAUACCCUGGCACCAGGAAAAUUUUAGGGAGGGUACAGAGAUUACCAUCUACACAAAACAGAAGGUCACAAAUAUGUUAUAAUUUGGGCAUGAAAGAUAAAAUGUAAAAAAAUUAUGCAGGAAGGAGGACACAUAGAUGCCAAUGAGUAAUUGGUUAAUUUUUGUGGUUAAUUUGUUUGUUAUUUAGGAGUAUGGGAUAAUGUGAUAGGUUUAGUAAAUCUGAAGGAGGUAACUAGUUCUAGCUAUAUAAUGUAAAUCUAAAACAAUGCUCUUUGGGAAUCAACUCCGGACUUCAGUACAAUAACAAGCUGCAAAACAUUGUAUCCCCGGGAUACGACUGUGAUUUGUACGGGAGCUGGGAACCCCCAGACCAGUGCAUCCUGGCUGGCCAUCUGGUGAUAUUUGUAAAUUGGGACCGGAGGAGCUGGAGCAUCUCAGGUCAACGAGGAGAUCAACCGGGUGGAGCUGCAGCUGGAUGUGAGCGAGUGCUGGGCUCUGUAUGGGGGCCACCUCAUCGGACUGAGCACGACCCCUGCCACGACCAGCCUCUUGUUACAGCCCCAUCCAAGCCCCAGAGAUUCCCUGCAGCUACCUCCGAUUGUCUGUGUGCUUGGCCAGUAAGACUGUUCCUUUCUGGUCACAGUCCUUACUGGGCGUUCAGUGACCCUUGGAGCUGCUUCCAUAGUCCUCCGCACUGCCCUGCAAAGCUAAGGAGGGUUGGCUGGAUUAGCACGUGAGGGGACAGGGAUGCUCUCUGGCAGUCAGUGCUGGCCCCAGUGCGGCACUAGGGGGCGCUGUGCUCCGGGGUGGGGGGCAGCAGGGGGCUCUCCCCUGGCAGUCAGGGCUGGCCCCAAUGCUGCUUUUCUCCUCCCCGCUGCAGGAAGCCAGGACCACAUACCGCAGGAUCCUCUCUAAGUCUGCCAGGAAGCUCAACACCCAGGGCUCCCAGCUGGGGAACUGCAUCGAGAAAGUGCAGCCCUACUACGAGGCCUGUCUCCUGGCCAAGGAGGUGUGAAUGCUCCCCUCCACCCUGCCCCAUGCCUGGAGUAGCCCUCACCCUCGGGACAUUCAUUGCCCGCCAAAAUCAGACUCCUGGGUUCUGUCCUGGCCUGGGGAGUGAGUGGGGUCUAGUGGGUUAGCGCAGGGGGGCUGGGAGUCGGGGCACCUGGGUUCUAUCCUGGCUGUGGGAGGGGAGUGGGGGCAGGAGUCCCUUGCCCUGCCCUCUCUCCGUGUGACUUCCCCUCCCCACCAUGCAGGCCCAGCAGGAGAUGUAGAAGAUGGUGCUGCUGUACGAGCGCGAGGUCAGCAUGCACAACGCCACUUGUGAGAUGGUCUUUGUGGCAGAGCAGGACGUCAUGGCCGACAAGAAUUGGCUGGACCCCACUUGGCAGGAGACGCUCAACCAUGCCACCUGCAAGGGACACCAGAACGAGAUCUGCACCAGCAGUGAAGAAGCAAGUGGCCAUCAUACUACGCAGGACACUUCCAAUCCCGGAUUGCUAUCGGUUGGUGGGAAAUCAUUUGGGAGCUGGAAAAUCCACAGUGCAGGCUCCUGUCAUGCAUGUGUGCAGGGCCAUUAGCUAUCUUCUGAUGUGCAGGACGGUGACUCUCGGCAAUGUGCAGAACACAGUGGAUGGAUCUGCAGCACAAGGGUUCUCGAACUGCAGGGAGGUGACAGAUGGCAGACACAUGUUUUGUCCCCAGCCCAUUGUGCCGCAGGUUACAGCAACAGAAAGGGCAAUUUUCUUUGGUUAAGUGAGUGCUGGGGAAUCACUGGGGCUGCUUCACUGAUCUGUUGCGGACUGGUCAGGGAAAGUACAUGACACUCGCAUCUUUAAGAACAUAGGAUGGUUCAGGAAGCUACAAGCAGAGACUUUCUUUCCCAACUGGCAGAUUACCAUUGGUAGUGUUGAAAUGCCAGUAGUGAUCCUGGGGGACCCAGCCUACCCCUGUUUCCCCUGGCUCAUGAAGCCGUACACGGGCCACCUCGACAGCACCAAGGAGAGAUUAAACUACCAGGUCAGUGGAUGCAAAGUGAGAGUUGUGUGGGACACUGGGAGUUUUUACUCACUAGGGCAGAUCUCAGUGAGAAAAACAUCCCAUUGGUUAUAGCUGCCUGUUGUGUCCUGCAUGGUAGCUGUGAGGUCAGGGGGUUGGGGGAGUUGCUGCAGGGGUGGAGGUGGCUUUAAAAGAGGCAUCCACAGUAAUCUGACCAUUUAUAAAUAUGACUGUGUUUCCUGUAGCUUAGGGUUUAUGUGGCACCUGUUGUGCAUUGACAAGUGACAUUUGCUUUCAGUCGGGCUAUGAGUCUGCAACAUGUGUUGAACUGACAUAUAAUGUUAUUCUUCAAAACUAGAAAUUUAUUGAGUCCCAAAAACAGAGGACAGGGCCUGGAGGGACAACAUGGCAGGCGGCAUGGGGGAGGGAGGAGGGAAACAAUGUGCAAAACACAGUAGGUAAUGCAAUCCAAAGUUUUAACCUCAAUGAGCAAUCUGGGACUUUAAAAUUAGACAGGCAGCAAAUAUUUCUGCCUGUUUCAGUGCACAAAUGUAGUUCGUUGAGGCUAUACAUACACCAGCCAUGGAUCCCCCAGGUCAGUGUAUCUGAAGCUCUGGUUUUUCUUGCUGUCCCCCAGCGUGGAGAGGUGGGGGUUGGGAUGCAGCCUGUGAUGCCACAUGAGCUGUUGGGGAUCUAGGGAGCUGCUACCAGGCCAUUCUCCAAGGACUGCAAAGGGUGGGGAAUCCAGGAAUUUUGGAUCUAUAGGUCAACCAGCGUCAGCAGCAUUUGUGUUUGCUGCCUGGGAGGACCUAUUAUGUCCUGGUGCUUCUUCCUCUCCUUUUCCUGCUGGGAUUCCUGGACCUUUCCCCUGUCUGCUCUUUCUUUCUCCAGGCCGCCUGCCAUGUUGUCCCUCAGAUCCUUUGUUCAAGGAGGACUAUAAGCCACCGCUGGGGUUUCAGAGCCAGAAAGGUCAGGCCUGCCCUGCCAGAAACUGAGGGGUAGCACAGGGAGUGGAAGUAUAAAAGGCAGGCCCGGCAACAUGGGUAGGAGGUAGAGUAGGCCAGGGGAGGCAAACCCAUGUGGCCUCACCCAUGCUCUGCCCAGAGGCCCGGCCCUUACUCACUGGAGUUCAGGGCUUGGGCCCAACAGUGACCAGGGGAUGGAGCGGCAGACGCAGUUCAGGCCAUCCCAAAGUGCAGGCCAGCAACGUGGGGUGGCCCAGGCCAGUCCAGGGUUCGGGCCAGUGGCCUUGGGCUGGCCAGCAGCCCAGUUCUUCAGCCAGCCGGUGCUCGAGGGUUGGGCCAAGUCACCCCGGGCCACAGGCCUGACCCAUGGCUGCAGGGCGUGAAGCUCAGGGCUCUGGCGGGGAGAGGGGGUGGCUCAGGGCUCUGGUGGGGCUGGGCCUUGGGUGGAAGGGGUGGGGCCAGCAGACUAGCCUCCCCAAAGUGGGGGUCACCCGCCACCCAUGCCCUGCAGCACACUUGGGGUAGAGCCGCUCUGGGAGACAGACAUAUCGCACUUGCUGCUGGAGUCCGAAGAGGACCCCAGCCAUACUGAGGACUUUCCAGAGCUGCUGAUUGACCAAGACACCACAGAGUUGCUGGGGCUGCCACUGGCCACCUACCAUGGGGAGACAGAGGACACCCAAGGAAGGGAGGUACCCAUCAUGAGGAAAGUAGGAAGCAGCCCAGGGGAAUAAGAUGACAGUCUGGUUGGGCUUUGGCCAGAGACUAGGUCAGUGUAUUGCAGGUGAAUCCACUCUGCCACUGUCAGGGCCCUGGGCUGGGACCUGGUGGAGUAGGAUGGGCCCAGGUUCCCCUACCCCCUGCUUCCCCACUCUAGGACAUGAGGCCUGCGUUUGUCAGCCAUCCACCAAAGCCAGGACCCCUGACUGUUUGCUGCUCCACCCUGUCUGAGGGCCUGGAAUCAUAGACUUUGCUGCCCUGCCUUGACUGCCAGCCAGAGCCCCCAACUGGAUGGUGCCCUGUCCUGGCUAAGGGCCCGGGUUCCUAGACUUGUUACUGCUCGGCCCAGCUCAGGUGGCCUCGGCUUUAAAGACAGCUAAUUCCCCUCUGAGUGAGUGCCGCGACCAGGACGGGUCUGCAAAGAGGCUUCCCUCAGAGAUUGACAAGCAGAGACAGCCAUGCACCCUUAUAUGAUCCAAUACCUCUUGUGUUCUCCAGCCAGGAGCGUGUCUAGUUUUUGCAGCUGGCCUGGUCAGCUGGGCAGUGUGCACAACAAUGGAGAGCUGCUAGCCAUGCUCACCAAGGCGGGCAAUCAGAAAAGGAAUUUCAAAACCAGGUGGGACUUUUAAAGAUGGAUGUGAUGGGGUGUAUACCCCAGGCAGGCCCUGAAUGGGUUAAUAUGGGCCUGAGAGGCCAAUCAUGUUGUCCGGAUGCACCUAGAGAGAGAAAGGCAGGAUUAAUUGAUGAUGAAAGGGCUGGGUGGUGAUUCUAAAGCGAGGAAUUGGAGAGCAGAAGGGGCUGCCAGGGCAGAGGGCUGGCAGUCACUCUCUGGAAAGUGGGAGGUUGGGAGGAGGAAGCUGGGGAGGGCUCUUAAGAUGCCCAGCCCUGAAGGAAGGGUCAGAUUAUCUCAAGAAGUUGAAGGGAAGAAGGCCUGGGGGAGCCUGGAUAGGAAGGAGCCCAGAGACUGCACAGAGCUUGGCUGCCAGUUGUACGGUCCCUGGACUGGAACCCAGUGUAAUGGGAGGGUUCCCCUACAAGCCAUCGGCAAGGUGCAUGAGCCCGGAGUUUGGCCAAAGACCUUCUUAUGAGGACACUGGACCACUUUAUGUAAGGUUGUUGUUAGCCCAGAAACAGAGAACUAACUUGCGACCUGGCUGGACAGUCAAGUUACUGCAAGAGAGACCACUGCAGUGAUGGAGUGACCGUCGGCAAGGGGCACCAGAACAAAAGCCAGCUGGUUUGCUACACUUGGCCUGACCUGAUGACGGGCAUUUUUAGCAACCAGUCAGAUGCUCAAUCCACUGCCAAUUAUUGGGAUGGAAUAUCAAUUGUUUUGAUUAUUGCCAAGAGUAGCACCUGUAGGGCCUUGGUACCAGCCAUAGCAUCACUAAGGCAAAGCCAGGAGGGAGGAACAAUCACGAGGUUUUCCCUGAUAUGCUGGAGUAAGCAUCUGUGAAAAAGAGGAAGUCUAUCUAUAUUUGACUUCUGGUGUGAGUGUCGGGGCCCAUGACACUGCAGACUCUGCAAAAACAUCUAUACCACUAACUGCUUAAAAAGUGCUUGCUUAAUGGGGUUUGUUUUGUUUUGUUUUUGAUUGAUAUGCUGUUGAAGUAAGUGUAGCAGUUACUAACAUAAAGGGAAUAGACAGGUCUGAGGAAUUUGUAUUUGAUCUUCUGGACGUCUCUUGGAAUCCCCAGCAACAGGCGGAUAGCCGGCCAUUUGAAGCUUGUCGUUUGACCACUCAACACCCCUCCAGACCGGGGUAACUAUUGUUUGGAGGUUCUUGAUAACCUAUUGUGUUUGUAUGUGCUUGAGACUACAUAAAGCAGAGACUUUGAGAAAAGGCAAAGACUUUGAGAGUGCUGAAGACAAAUAAAGUGAAACUUUAAGUAAAA